rnacentral:rRNA from 1 species
UUUUGUGGGGUGCCCGAGUGGCGAACGGGUGAGUAACACGUGAGUAACCUGCCCUUGACUUUGGGAUAACUUCAGGAAACUGGGGCUAAUACCGGAUAGGAGCUCCUGCUGCAUGGUGGGGGUUGGAAAGUUUCGGCGGUUGGGGAUGGACUCGCGGCUUAUCAGCUUGUUGGUGGGGUAGUGGCUUACCAAGGCUUUGACGGGUAGCCGGCCUGAGAGGGUGACCGGCCACAUUGGGACUGAGAUACGGCCCAG